UUGAGAUUGAAGCUAACGUUACAACAUUAAAGUUCAUUAACGACGUUAGCUACACACAGCUGUGUUACUAACGGACUUUAACUUUCCGGGAUAAAAGCAAGUUUCUGCGAUGCACAUAACCCAGGGUUUUUAAUGCCGAGCAUCGCUCCGCUCCCUCGCAGACCAGGCUUGUGUAUUUCUGACUUCAGUUGCAGAUGUCCAGAUGUUGUACAGUCUGGGAUGUAUCGUGAGUUUUCACACAGCGGAGCAGAAUGGCGAAGACGGGCCUCGCCUUCCACCAACCGUCAAGACGGACUCAACCGAUUACUGCACUUCCGCUUCUAACUUCAAAGUAAAACAAUAAAAUGUCUGAUGAAUCCAACUGUCAAAAUACAUACUAAAUAAAAUAAUAAUGUAAACGUC